UGGGGAAUUUUGGACAAUGGGCGAAAGCCUGAUCCAGCAAUGCCGCGUGUGUGAAGAAGGCCUUCGGGUUGUAGAGCACUUUUGUCCGGAAAGAAAUCCUUGGCUCUAAUACAGUCGGGGGAUGACGGUACCGGAAGAAUAAGCACCGGCUAACUACGUGCCAGCAGCCGCGGUAAUACGUAGGGUGCAAGCGUUAAUCGGAAUUACUGGGCGUAAAGCGUGCGCAGGCGGUUUGCUAAGACCGAUGUGAAAUCCCCGGGCUCAACCUGGGAACUGCAUUGGUGACUGGCAGGCUAGAGUAUGGCAGAGGGGGGUAGAAUUCCACGUGUAGCAGUGAAAUGCGUAGAGAUGUGGAGGAAUACCGAUGGCGAAGGCAGCCCCCUGGGCCAAUACUGACGCUCAUGCACGAAAGCGUGGGGAGCAAACAGGAUUAGAUACCCUGGUAGUCCACGCCCUAAACGAUGUCAACUAGUUGUUGGGGAUUCAUUUCCUAGUAACGUAGCUAACGCGUGAAGUUGACCGCCUGGGGAGUACGGUCGCAAGAUUAAACUCAAAUGAAUUGACGGGGUCAUAGCUGUUUCCU
rnacentral:rRNA from 1 species